UCCAGAGAGGCCUCCGUGUAGGCCUCCCUGAAGCCUGAACUUGGCAUUCCCCCGCAAGCCACGAAGGAGACGGGAUGGAAGAGUUCUCUGCAGCAGACUCUCUGCCCAGACCAUCCACCACAGCUUUUGCAAGUUGCAGCCAGGAACAGAAACCCCGUGAAUAUCAAGGUCCUGUAUAAGAUCACCACGACUUAGAAUCAUAGCAAUUGUAGAGUUGGAAGCGAUCCUGGAGAUCUUCUAGGAAGAACACUGCUCAGAGCAGGAAACUGUUGCAGCAUCCAUGACAGAUGGCCAUCCAGCCUCUGAACACCUCUAGUGAAGGAGAGCUCACCACGGUGCAAGGCAGACUCUUGAACACCUAUUACUGUUAGGAAGUGCCUCCUAAUAUGUAGCCUGAAUCUGCUUCUGUGUAAUUUCAAUCCAUUUGUUCUGGUCCUUCCCUUUGCAACUAAGAACCAGUCUGAUCCUUCUUCUGUGUGACAGCCCUUCAGAUAUUUGAAGACCAUCAUAUCUCCUGUUAGUCUUCCCUUCUUCAGGCUAAAUAUAUCGCAAGCUCAGAGGACCCGGUUUCGAGAUUCCACGCCAAUUCUGUUGCCGUCCUCUGAACCCAUUCCAGUUUAUCAAUGUACGUCUUCCAACGUGGUGUCCAGAACUGGAUACAGUAUUCCAAGUGAGGACUGACCAGUGCAGAAUAGAGUGGGACUAUUCACCUAAUUGGGACACUAUGCCUCCUGAUUAGGGGGCGGGGGGCGGGGUUUGAACCCAUUGGCUGGGCUGGUCAGUUUGACGAACCAGCUUGAACCUGUACGAAGUGGUUUGCGAUUGAACCACUCAAACUGGCCUGGCUUGAUCGCAAACCAGUUCUGCACAUCCCUACAUGGAACUACUUUACAACAAGUCAAACUAUUGGUCUAUCGAACAGGCAAGACUUGGGUAUUGUAACUGAUACUUGUUCUAAUGAUGAGAUGGAAGUCCUCAUGUUUUUUGUUAGUUUGUUAUGUUUGUGGUUUUCUUUCUUUCUUUUUCUUUGUGUGUGUAUUUUAUGUUGUGAAAAAUUGAAUUAAAAGUAUUUUUUUAAAAACUA